rnacentral:rRNA from 1 species
AUCCUUCAUCCUGAAUUGCUUGAAAGACCAAUAGAGAAAGGCGAUCUAUUUGCCCAUGUAUUUGGUCGUGAACCAAGGGGAUAUGUACGUGGAGUUGGUUUAGGACCAACUCCUGCUACUCUGGGCAUUGAUGGGUACCGCUCAUGUGCAUCCACAAGUGUACAGAUGGCAAUCCGUGCUAGCCAGAAAACACAAGAGCAAAACAUAUUGUUGAUGGGCGCUCUACAUCAACUAUUCGAUGAGGUCAGAGAACUUAGGGAAAUAGUGAAAGGUGGCGAAGGACAGGAAGAGACACUUGAUGAUGAUGCAACAGAUCGUGCGUCCUCUCCUACACUGGAACAUGGAUCUAAUCCUUCACCAACCACUCAGAUGAGAGGAGUUUCUAGUGAUUAUGGUGAUCAUAAUGUGCAUGAUGACAUGAUGAACAAUCAUGAUGCUGAUGUGAUGGUGCCUAUGAGAGGAAGAGCUCCACUCCAAACCACUAGAGGACACGAGGGGGGUGGGAAAGAGGUUGUUCUACUUUCUGUUGAGAGGCCAUGUGGUCAACCCGUGGCUAAGGCUACUCUCCAAACAUCCAAUCCAGAAGCACGUGUGGGAGGAUCUCUUUUAGGUCCUGAGUACCAUGAAGUACUUAUGAAUAGUGUGAUGAGAGGUGAUCAUAUACUUCCUCGGCAACAUGGAAAGCUGAAGAUGCUGUCAGAUUGCGUUGGGCAUUCUAUAGCUUGGCCACAGCUAAACAUAUAC